rnacentral:miRNA from 1 species
CCUGGAACUCACUUUGUAGCCCAGGCUGGCCUGGAACUCACAGCGAUCUUCUUGCCUCAGCCUCCUGAGUGCUGGGAU